AUUGAACGCUGGCGGCAGGCCUAAUACAUGCAAGUCGAACGAGUGGCGGACGGGUGAGUAAUGUCUGGGAAACCGCCUCUUGGAGGGGGAUAACUCCUGGAAACGGUAGCUAAUACCGCAUACCAUCUGAUGUGCCAAGAUGGGAUUAGCUAGUAGGUGGGGUAAAGGCUCACAUAGGCGACGAUCCCUAGCUGGGCUGAGCGGAUGACCAGCCACACUGGAACUGAGACACGGUCCAGACUCCUACGGGAGGCAGCAGUGGGGAAUAUUGCACAAUGGGCGCAAGCCUGAUGCAGCCAUGCCGCGUGUAUGAAGAAGGCCUUAGGGUUGUAAAGUACUUUCAGCGGGGAGGCGGUACCCGCAGAAGAAGCACCGGCUAACUCCGUGCCAGCCGCCGCGGUAAUUC
rnacentral:rRNA from 1 species